rnacentral:rRNA from 1 species
UACGUAGGGUGCAAGCGUUGUCCGGAAUUAUUGGGCGUAAAGAGCUCGUAGGCGGUCUGUCGCGUCGGCUGUGAAAACCCGGAGCUCAACUCCGGGCCUGCAGUCGAUACGGGCAAACUAGAGUACUGCAGGGGAGACUGGAAUUCCUGGUGUAGCGGUGAAAUGCGCAGAUAUCAGGAGGAACACCGAUGGCGAAGGCAGGUCUCUGGGCCACUACUGACGCUGAGAAGCGAAAGCAUGGGGAGCGAACAGG